rnacentral:sRNA from 1 species
AAUCACUGCAUUCAGUUUUGAGAUUUGUCAUCAAACAAACUGCACCCUUGCCAUUUGUAACUUUGUGGCACCACAGGAUAUUCCAAUCUCUUCUUGUUCCUGUCCUGUCCCAUUAAUGGAGCCAACCACUUCUCCAAGGAGGUCUGGUUCCUUUUUUAUUUUUAUUUUUGGAGAAUGGUAUUUAGAAACCAAGAUCUGGAUGUCAGGCGACCCAGAGAGUCGGGACAGUGGUGGAAAAACAUUUCCAUGGGACCUCUCUCACCUUUUCUAUGCAGGAUGGCCCCGAAGCUGGACAGACUGUGAAGCACGUUCACGUCCAUGUUCUUCCCAGGAAGGCUGGAGACUUUCACAGGAAUGACAGCAUCUAUGAGGAGGAGCUGGGAUGCUCAGGUGAAAUGUGGCCUCAGGCUCACCUGGGAAUGAGCGAGUGAAGUUAGGAGAGCUCCAGAAACAUGACAAGGAGGACUCUCCUGCCUCUUGGAGAUCAGAGGAGGAAAUGGCAGCAGAAGCCGCAGCUCUGCGGGUCUACUUUCAGUGACCCAGGUAAAGACUGCAUUUCGUCAUCACCCAGACCCUUCCGUGGGCCUCAGGAAAGAGGCUGCACUCUCAGAAUGGGGAUGCACAAAAACACCUUCACCAACAUCCUAGGGUGGUGGCUGCAAAGGACAAAAAGCUGGAGGGGAGAAAACCCUGGCCCUUGAGUACUGUAUUCCCAGCCUCCCAGUCUCUUCCAACUCUCCUGCCUCUUCACUCUCUUCUUCCAAGCCAGUGCCCCCAGCCCACCACCACCUUUCUCCAGUCUUUCCUGCGGUGGUGCUCCUCCAGAAUCCAAUGUUCACAAAGCACACCUUCUGUCAUGCACAACUUCUUGUUUAAAAGGUCAACCCCAACUUAAGGGUAUGACAUGGCCCUUAGGCUCAAGUCUGUCUGCAAAGCCCUGUAAACCAGCUUUCUCUGCCUCCCUAACACACCCCCAGGCAAACUCCUCUGCCUUCACUGAGUGGACUCUUCUCUUCAGUUGCUAUUUGGUAAAUUGCCCUUCACAUUUCCCUUUAUGUUCGGCUCCUAGGAAGCUCAGGCCACAGGGAAAAGUCAAGGCUUGAUAGAAUUAAUCUUUAUCUUAAUGAUGGGUAACUGUUGAGAGAUCAUAGGUUUAAGACUCUGGUAGAAAGAUAGCUAUAGCCAAUUUCCUUGUCAAAAUGCUUCUACUCCAAAUUUUUAUGCAGUGUCUGAGGAACUCAUGCCUAGAUCUAUCUGGCAAUCUAUAUUAUCCCUCCUAGUCUCAGUUCAUAUAGUAGACUGCUGGAAUGACUGAGGGUGAUGUGUUUGGUCUGUAAACAAAAAGUGUUAAAGAAGGCCAGGUACAGUGGCUCAUGCCUAUAAUCCCAACUACUUGGGAAGCUGAGGCAGGAGAACUGCUUGAACCUGGGAGGCAGAGGUUGCAGUGAGCUGAGAUCAUGCCACUGCAUUCCAGCCUGGGUGACAGAGCAAGACUCAGUUUCAAAAAAAACAGGAGAGAGAGAGAGAGAGAAAUGUAUCUAACUCUCUGAAAUUUGUUUAUAAAUAUAGGGUUACCAUGUAAUACUGGCCUAUAUCUAGACUAAAAAAAUUACUUGUUUAUCUGAAAUUCAAAUUUAACUGGUAUCUUGUAUUUUUUCUGGCAAACCUGUUAAUAAACUCCCAUGGACCCCAGUUACAGAUCCUCUCCUAUAAAUAGUUUCUUUUUCGUUUUUAGAAUUAGAUAAUUCCAAAUUAAAAUUAGGCAAUUCUUCAUCUGACCUGUGAAUAAAUAUGUUCAUGUUAUAAGUUGCAGAAGUAGAUCAGAUACAAAUAAAAAACAAAAUUAAUUAGUGAACAAAUGCUGGUAGCAAUUGAUUGGAAAAAAUUGUAUCAACCACUUAGUGAUCAUGAUUUAGUGAUCACGAUUUUUAGCUAGAAAACACAUUCAUUGUAUUCUGAUUUCACUUUGAAAUGUAAGUAAGUCAAGUCUUUACUGGAUACCUUUAAAUACAUGUGCACUUGGCCUUUCUCUCCCCAGCCCUCUUUUUAGAGUAUUCUAAAUAAUUAAAGACCCAGACUACCUUGCCCCCUAUUGUUGUUCAAAUAUGGUGUUGUACUCAGAUCCUUGCAUUCUAGAAAGCUUAUUUCAUUCUCCCAUGUCAUAAGUUUGUCAGCUCUGCAGUCAGUUGCCUGGGGGGAUAUGGCAAGUGCUAUAAUAGAGGCUGUCUUUCAUAUUUUAUUUUGAAUGUUUUCCACUGUUCACCAUCUCGCUCUCAUUUUUUAAGGAUCAAGCUAGUUUACCUAAGAACAUAGGCCUAUGGGCAUGACUACAAACCUCUUUCUGUUCCUCUUAUGAAGGCCAGUAUGUCAUUUUAGAGUGCCCUGUUCAAAUUUAAAUGGGGUGACAAUACCUCAGACUUGACUGCCUAGGUUGAAUUUUUUCUAUGCAGUGGGUAUUUUCAGGUAGAGGCUAGAAAGCUUUAGCCUUUUUCCCAAGGCUUGCUGAAUUGUAGGAUUUUUGUCUUAGAAUGCUUUUUCUAGACACUUUAAGAAGAUUCAAACUUAUUACCCAAAUUUCCUGUAGGCUUUGUUUUGUCAGUUUUUGCUUCUGUCUUGCCUGGAGGCCUGACAUCUCCUGUCUUCCAGGUAAAUUGACUUCCCUUGUACAUCUUACCAGAAAGAUAUUUACCCUAACUUGUUACACAAACUAUUGCCACAGUACCUGUGGAUUUUUAAGUUAACUAACAUUUGUAUUUCUCUUUAAAGGUUUUGUGCACAGACCAAACAAAUCACCCUCAGUCUUCCCAGCAGUCAGAUGUGGUAACUAAGACUAGGAUGGAUAAUAUAGGUUGUGAGGUGGCAAACAACUUAGGGUCCUAAGAUUUUGCCAAGACUGUCAUCAUUACCUGGAGUAUAAUGGGACUAAAUAUACCUCCCUUUAAGGACAAUGGAAACAUUCUAUUGAAACCAUCCUCACAGGGUUAACAAGAAUUAGAUGCUGGGUUCUGGACAGAAAUAUAGUUGUAAUUAAGCAUUAAUCAGGCUGCACUUUGGCCCA